rnacentral:tRNA from 44 species
GCGGAAGUAGUUCAGUGGUAGAACAUCACCUUGCCAUGGUGGGGGUCGCGGGUUCGAAUCCCGUCUUCCGCUUCA